rnacentral:rRNA from 1 species
GACGAACUCUGGCGGCAUGCCUAAUACAUGCAAGUAGGACGCAAUUGCGAACGGGUGAGUAACGCGUAGAUAACUGCCUAUUAGAGGGGGAUAACUAUUUGAAACGAUAGCUAAUACCGCAUACUAGUAGAUUGACCUGCGUUGUAUUAGAUAGUAGGUAGGGUCAUGGCCUACCUAGGCGACGAUACAUAGCCGACAUGCGAGGGUGAUCGGCCACACUGGGACUGAGACACGGCCCAGACGCCUACGGGAGGCAGCAGUAGGGAAUCUGCGGCAAUGGGGGAACCCUUAACUAAGAACGCCGCGGGAGUGUAGAAGGUUUUCGGAUCGUUAAGCUCUGUUGUUAAGGAAGCGGUACUUAACCAGAAAGGGACGGCUAACUACGUGCCAGCAGCCGCGGUAAUUC